rnacentral:rRNA from 1 species
UACGUAGGCAGCGAGCGUUGUUCGGAGUUACUGGGCGUAAAGCGUGCGUAGGCGGUGCCAUAAGUCUGUUGUGAAAUCUCCCGGCUUAACUGGGAGGGUGCGGUGGAAACUGUGGUGCUGGAGUGUGGGAGAGGUAGGCGGAAUUCCUGGUGUAGCGGUGAAAUGCGUAGAUAUCGGGAGGAACACCGGUGGCGAAGGCGACUACCUGGCCUGUUCUUGACGCUGAGGCGCGAAAGCUAGGGGAGCAAACGGG